CCCUCCUUCCCUCCCUUCCUCCUCCUCGCCAUGUGGGCCCCCUCUGGUCCCCGCCCCCUGGGCCUUCCGGUCCCCGAGGUGGCCCAACCCACGCUGACGGUGGCCCCGAGCCUCCCUUGAGGAGCUGCGGGCCCGCAGAGCGGCCGGACACGGUUAAUGGCAGCCGAGACCAAACUGCCCCCCUUCCCCGCUCCAGAAACUCCAUCACUUGGGACCGGGUCCCCUCCUGCGGCCACCGAUAGCAAGGAGCUCGCCGGAUUCGGGCGGGGAGAGAGCGAGCCAGCCCGGGCCCAGAAGCCAGAGGGCCCCUGGUCCUGGCGGGCGGCGAGGAUGCAGGCGGGUGACCCGUACCGCAGGGAGGUGGUCAGAUUUGCCGUGGCCUGGCGGGCCCUGACUCUGCUGCUUCAGGCGCUGUCCAAUGCCUCGAUCCCGGACCACGCCGCGGACGCCUUCUCCCCCCCCCGCCCGGAGCCCCCCGGCCCCGGGGACCGGCUGCUGGACCGGCUGCUGGGCGGGCUGGGGCGCUGGGACGCCGAAUACUUCCUGUUCGUGGCGGAGCACGGCUACCUGCUGGAGCCCAGCCUGGCCUUCUUCCCCGGCUUCCCGCUGGCCCUGCGGGCGGGGGCCGAGCUGGCGCUGGGGCCGCUGCGCCCGCUGCUGGGCCUCCGGAGCCGCCUGCUGCUGGCGGGGGUGCUGCUCAACGCCCUGGCGUCGGCGCUGGCCGCCGCGGCGCUCUACGAGCUGGGCUGCCGCGUGCUGGCCCGCCGCCGGCUCGCCUUCCUGGCCGCCCUGCUCUUCUCCCUCAGCCCCGCGGGCGUCUUCCUGGCCGCCGCCUACUCGGAGAGCCUGUUCGCGCUGGCCACGUUCAGCGCCAUGGAGCGGCUGGAAAGCGGCCGGGCCCGGGCCGCCGGGCUCCUUUUCGCCCUGGCCGCCGCCGUGCGAUCCAACGGGCUGCUGGGCGCCGGCUUCCUCCUGCACGGCCUGGCCCGGGCCCUGCUGAGCGGAGGCCCGCGGCCCGCGGCACGGGUUCUGCGGCUGGCCGCCGCCUCGCUCCUGGGAGCGGCUGCGGUCGGUCUGCCUUUCGCCCUGUUCCAGGCCUACGCCUACUUCCAGUUCUGCCGGCCCGACUCGGCCCGGCCCGUGCCGGGGCCCCUGCGGCGGCUGGCGGAGGAGCGGGGCUACCGAGUGGUGGGCGGGGAGGCGCCCCCCUGGUGCUCCUGGCCGCUGCCCCUGGCCUACGGCUAUGUCCAGGACGCCUACUGGAACGUGGGCUUCCUGCGCUACUUCGAGCUCAAGCAGGCGCCCAAUUUCCUCCUGGCAGCUCCGGUGGCAGCGCUGGUUGCCUGGGCGGCCUGGACGUACGUGGCCGCCAAUCCCCGCCACUGCCUCCGGCUGGGCCUGGUGGAAGCGGACAAACCCGGGGACGGCUUCCUCGGCCCUCGGGUCUUCGUGUACGUGGUCCACGCCACCGCCCUGCUGCUGUUUGGAGUCCUCUGUAUGCACGUGCAGGUUCUCACUAGAUUCCUGGCUUCGUCCUCGCCGGUCCCGUACUGGUUUGCAGCCCACCUGCUGGAGGAGUCCGGGAGCCGGGGCGGGAGCCGGCCGCGAGAGCCCGAGGCUCAGCCGGGCCGGCCCGGCAACCCCGUCUUGGAGCUCCUGUGGAACUGGGGGGCCUGCCCCGCCGUCGCCCGGCUCGUCCUGGGCUACUUCCUGACCUACUGGGCCCUCGGGCUGCUCCUGCACUGCAACUUCCUGCCGUGGACGUGACCCGGAGGGAUCGUCCGUCCCGGGGGCUGGGCCGGUCGGACCGCCGGAGCCCCGAGACGAGCCGCCCCCGACCCGGGACCGGGCCUGGGGGAAGGACCACGCUCUGCACACAGCUGAGAGAGGGUCAUCCACCCCCCGCCGCAGCUGCAGGAAGAUCCAGCCGCCCUCGCCGCCGCCGCCGCCGCCUCCUUGGGAGCCGAGGAAAGCGACAGCUGAGCAGAUGGCCCAGACCCCGGGCUGGCCCGCUGCCCACACCCUGCCCAGUUGACGGAGGGAGGGAGGGAAUUCCUUCCUGGCCUCCGAAGGACCGGCCUGGGCCCCCGCCCCGUGGCCGUGGGCCGGCCUCGGCUUUCAUCAUCAAUCGUAUUUAUUUCAGGACUGCGGCCGUACUUUCGGCGGGAAGCCGCGUAGCCUAAUGGGUAGCGCUCCGGCCUGCCAGUCAGAAGGACCCGGUUCUCAUCCUGGCUCCGACACCUGUCUGCUGACUAACCUUGGGUUAGUCAAUCGAUCAAUCGUAUUUA